rnacentral:lncRNA from 1 species
CUGACAGAUGGGAGCGGAGGGGACAUUGCUUGCUCCAUCUCUGGCCGCACACGAGUCAGAGCCACCAGCAGUUCAGCUCAGCCAAGAAAGUAGCUGGCCCGAGGCAGCUGGCCCGCAGCACGGGAAAGUCAUCCCCAGCCUUAACCCACGACGAGAGCGGAGCAGCUGAAAAGCCCCUGAGCAGAGGGCAGGCUCCCGCGGGGCAGCCUGGCAUGGGAAAGCCCGCCGCUCUGGCCGUGCUUACAGCUGGGUUUCCCAUCCUUGCGUCCAGCCGGACACUCCGUGCGAAGCUCUGGCCGUUCCCCUACAGCCAUGUAUACCUUAAGUGCUCUGAUAGGACUCUCCAUGCACAGCUGGAUCAAAGGAAAUAAAAAGCGGAGCGAGGAACGUGGCCAGAGGCAGGCUGUGGAGACGCUUCCCAGCCACAGCGAGAAGGCUCGCAGAGCCAGGAGGGACUGCUGCCCGCCUGCUCAUGCCCUGCGGAGCUACCCACGGGCUGGACGCUGUUUCGGAAAGGUCUGCCCAGGGUCCGAGCUGGCCCGGGCCGGCGCGCAGGCGCCGAGCUGUCGCUGCACUUGGGACCCCUAUGCCAUGAUCGCAUCCUGCAAGACCUGGGAGCUGGGACCCUCCGUGAGCAACGCGUGGAAAAAAAAGGCCCUUCCCUUGGAAGGCAGUGGGCAGGAUUCACUCAUCGCUGGGAGUGAGGAGGCCGCCUCUGCCCACAUUCCUGUGUUGCCUGCCCUACUCCAGCAUAAAAUCCUAAGUGUGAGCUGGCCGGAGGCUGGAAGUCCGCACGGUCUCUACCUGACCCUCCAGGUAAGAAACGCUUGGUGCUCUGCAGAGUUAGAGCUGGGAGACCGAAAACAUGCCGCGCUCUGCAGCGGGGACUGGCUGCAAGUGCGCAAGCAUGGAUCUUGCCAGCUGUGUGUCUGCAGGGGUGAUUGCCACCUAAAUUUUAUACCAGAUGGCUGCGCGUGGGGUGCUGCAAAGGACACCCUGCGUGCCGCUGAGCCGCGGGACUGGAGGCGGCGUGGGGCUGAGCUCCAGGACCAGCCCGCGAGAGCCCGGCUCCUCCCGGGCGUCCCGCUGCUCGGCCUUCUCUCGAGCAGCUGCCGGCUGCCGUGAGCGGCUCUCCCCUCUCUCUCGGUGGAUCAGCUCGUUGCCCCCUAGGUUUCGGCGCCGCCUUUUUUGAACAGAGCUUUUCCCCUUUAAGGGCACGAUUCCUUCCGGUCUCUGCUCUGAUCCUUGUGGGUCUCAGUGGAGAGGGAAGCGGCGGGGGAAACAAUGUGUCAGCUCUCUGGCAAGUUUUCAGGCAGGCAAAACGGACAGACCACAGUGCCAUUUUUCUACGGCUUUUCUUGACUUGCAUAAUCAGAAGAAUUCAGAGCAGGAGGGAGAUAAGCAAACGCUCUGCCUCGAACCCAGGGCUGCAGAUCAGCACGUUGUGCAAGGCGGGUGAAGAUGGGGGACAGUGUCAGGACACCUGGGUGCUGUUUACAUUGCUGUCACGGUUCAUUUUGCGCUUCAGGCUAAUCAUUUAAAUUCUGCUCCUUUGAAAGGAAGGAAAAUACCUUGUUAUCUCAAACUAGCUUUGAAUAAGCCUUAAUGAAUUCCCUUCAGCAAAAGCCUUCUGGAACUUCAAAUGAAGGCACCUUAGAAAUGCAAGUCUCCAGUCUUGACAGCUCUCUGUGGAUUGUGCUGCCUCCUCCUCCUAAAUUGCACUCAGAAACAUUUUGCUUGUAAUGAGGAUUCGCCGCUCUGUCUCCCUUUGCCGGCAUGAGACAUAUUUCUUUGACAUUGCUCGCUGGCGGAAUAACGCCACCUGCUCCGAGAUAAGAUAUAAGUAAGAAAAGGAACUUUUGACCAGGGUAGGGAGCAAUUGUGCAGCCUUAGCUAAUGAGUGGCUUGCCUUUCGGAAAGCAUGCUGCCAGCACUUUUCUACCACAGAAAAAACAGAUUUUUUUUUCCCCUCGCAAGCCAGUGAACAUACAGUUAUAGAACAGAUGCCUGCACUUUUGACCUUCCCUGUACUCCCCUCCCUCCUUCCCGAUUUCUUCUCCAGUUUUAUCCGAGUUGGAAAUUGUGCCCCAUCUGAAUGGGUGCCUCUGACUCCUGCUUUGUGGCA